rnacentral:lncRNA from 1 species
UUUUUUUCAACUGGAGGAUAUAUGCUCUCAAGUGGUUCGAAUCUAUUUCUUCUACAAGUGGGAACUUAAGUUUUCAGUCUGCCUGCUAUAUAUGGUGGGUUUUGAGAUUCAGUUGGCAACGGUUCCUGCAAUGCAUCAUUUGACUUGCGCUGACAAAUACAACACUUGAAGCCUGCUGUGCAUGAUGGAUGAGCCUGGAUCGACCUGAAUUGCAUCCCAGUCUCAUUAAUGGUAGCUAGAGAUAUUAGUUGAAGGUGCUAAAAAAAAUAAAGACUUGUACACACUGAAAAAAAUUGCAUAUCUUCGGCUCCGAUCAACUGGGUCUAUAUUUUUGUGUUGCAUAUACCCUUUCCAACCGGGGGGCUUGUAGGUUGUGGAAAAUGUUUCAAGAUGCUUGUUGUGC